CUGGCUUAAUACCUCCUUCUAAUUUUUAGCAGUUCAGAGCAGUGUUUUGACAGAAAUUAUAACACAAUGGAAACAGGCUUUUUAUAGGGGAAAAUGUGAAACACUUCUGAAAUAUCACAGGACUGACGGGAACCAUUCAAAUAUUUUACAUGUCAUUAAAGACCCAUGCUGAGGUCAAGACACUCCUUAGAUGCAACAUUUUGGCACUGGAAUUACAUUUUCAUCAAUCAGGGAAACACUACAAAGCAGUAUAUCUGGAGUCACUCCAAAGAUUUCAGGAAGAAUACAGACAUUGGACGUAAGACAAGUGGGGAGAUCAUCAGAGGCAUCAUGUACCAACCAGCCUCUAUGAAAUUAUGGACAUGGGAAGAAGACAGCUGCCAAGCUGAGCACCAGGGUGUUAAACUGCAGAAUAAACAAAUUAUAUCUGUUUCUUAAGUUGUAGAUCUGAAGAUUUCUCAGCAAAUCCCAUCACGAAUAAGCACCAGUUUUCAGCCAAAACUCAUUCUACCUUAGUACCUUCUCACUUAUCUGUGAUAGACCACACAGUGCAGAUCAAAUGUAACCACACAGGAAUAUGUUAUUCUAACCCUGCCCUAUUAAAUAGAUUUUCUUUUCUAAUUAUACAUGGCUUUAGACAGAAAUGUGAAUUUCAUAACUAAAGGUAAACUUCAUUCACAGGAAGACAGAAUUUUUUGUGAGUAUUUUUGUGUGUCUGAAUCACUUCUUGUGACUAGGCGCAUCUUCAUUAUUAAAAAAAAAAAUCUCUUUAUAUCAGCUGUAGAUAAUGUUGUACUGUUAUGGAAAAGAAAAUAAGUCAUAAACCCUUCACUUCUGGAAAAUACUGCACAUUUUGAACAUGGUUAGUCAUGAACCAGAACAAAGCAGUAAUGUGUGUUUCCUUUCCCUGCCUG